rnacentral:rRNA from 1 species
UACGUAGGGUGCGAGCGUUGUCCGGAAUUAUUGGGCGUAAAGAGCUCGUAGGCGGUCUGUCGCGUCGAUCGUGAAAACUUGGGGCUUAACCCCGGGCCUGCAUUCGAUACGGGCAGACUAGAGUUCGGUAGGGGAGUCUGGAAUUCCUGGUGUAGCGGUGAAAUGCGCAGAUAUCAGGAGGAACACCGGUGGCGAAGGCGGGACUCUGGGCCGAUACUGACGCUGAGGAGCGAAAGCGUGGGGAGCAAACAGG